AAGGUUGACCUCGGAUCAGGUAGGAAUACCCGCUGAACUUAAGCAUAUCAAUAAGCGGAGGAAAAGAAACCAACAGGGAUUGCCUCAGUAACGGCGAGUGAAGCGGCAACAGCUCAAAUUUGAAAUCUGGCCCCCAGGCCCGAGUUGUAAUUUGUAGAGGAUGAUUCUGGCGACGCGCCUUCCGAGUUCCCUGGAACGGGACGCCAUAGAGGGUGAGAGCCCCGUCCGGUCGUGCGCCUAGCCUCUGUGAAUCUCCUUCGACGAGUCGAGUAGUUUGGGAAUGCUGCUCUAAAUGGGAGGUAUACGUCUUCUAAAGCUAAAUACCGGCCAGAGACCGAUAGCGCACAAGUAGAGUGAUCGAAAGAUGAAAAGCACUUUGAAAAGAGGGUUAAAAAGUACGUGAAAUUGCUGAAAGGGAAGCGCUUAUGACCAGACUUGGGCGUGGUGAAUCAUCCGGCGUUCUCGCCGGUGCACUUUGCCUGUCCAGGCCAGCAUCAGUUCUCCCCGGGGGAUAAAGGCUUCGGGAAUGUAGCUCCUUCGGGAGUGUUAUAGACCGUU
rnacentral:rRNA from 1 species